UGGGGAAUUUUGGACAAUGGGCGAAAGCCUGAUCCAGCAAUGCCGCGUGCAGGACGAAGGCCUUCGGGUUGUAAACUGCUUUUGUACGGAACGAAACGGUCUCUUCUAAUACAAGGGGCUAAUGACGGUACCGUAAGAAUAAGCACCGGCUAACUACGUGCCAGCAGCCGCGGUAAUACGUAGGGUGCGAGCGUUAAUCGGAAUUACUGGGCGUAAAGCGUGCGCAGGCGGUUAUAUAAGACAGAUGUGAAAUCCCCGGGCUCAACCUGGGACCUGCAUUUGUGACUGUAGAGCUAGAGUACGGUAGAGGGGGAUGGAAUUCCGCGUGUAGCAGUGAAAUGCGUAGAUAUGCGGAGGAACACCGAUGGCGAAGGCAAUCCCCUGGACCUGUACUGACGCUCAUGCACGAAAGCGUGGGGAGCAAACAGGAUUAGAUACCCGUGUAGUCCCUGAGCGGGCUGGCAAGGCGCAU
rnacentral:rRNA from 1 species